GCAAGUCGAGGGGUAACAGGAAAAAGCUUGCUUUUUUGCUGACGACCGGCGAACGGGUGCGUAACGCGUAUAGAAUCUGCCUUGUACAGGAGGAUAGCCUUUAGAAAUGAAGAUUAAUACUCCAUAAUAUUGGUUAGCGGCAUCGUUAUCUAAUUAAACAUUUAUGGGUACAAGAUGACUAUGCGUCCUAUUAGCUAGAUGGUAAGGUAACGGCUUACCAUGGCAACGAUAGGUAGGGGGUCUGAGAGGAUUAUCCCCCACACUGGUACUGAGACACGGACCAGACUCCUACGGGAGGCAGCAGUGAGGAAUAUUGGUCAAUGGAGGUAACUCUGAACCAGCCAUGCCGCGUGCAGGAAGACUGCCCUAUGGGUUGUAAACUGCUUUUAUACAGGAAGAAACAGAUCUACGUGUAGGUCCUUGACGGUACUGUAAGAAUAAGCACCGGCUAACUCCGUGCCGGCAGCCGCGGUAAU
rnacentral:rRNA from 1 species